rnacentral:rRNA from 15 species
AGUCGUAGCGAAAGCGAAUCCGAAUAGGGUGGUUUAGUGGCAUGUCCUGGACCCGAAGCGGGGUGAUCUACCCAUGGCCAGUGUGAAGCAGCUGUAAGAGGUUGUGGAGGCGCGAACCCACGUAGGUUAAAAACUGCGGGGAUGAGCUGUGGGUAGGGGUGAAAGGCCAAUCAAACUCCGUGAUAGCUGGUUCUCCCCGAAAUGCAUUUAGGU